UAUGUGCAUGCUUGUGAUGUGCUGGUGGUCCCACCCAGCAGAAUGGAUUAGUUCAUAGCUCCCUGUCCAUGCUAGUUCUUGGCAUCUCUCUUACUUGUCUUUCCUCCGUCUUAAUCCAUACAGGGAGUUUUUGCAAAGGACUUGGGAGAAAAGUGCCUGGAAAACAUCAGCAUCUGGACAAAGAACAGUCAGCCAGAGCCUGUCAGGACAAAGGAAAUCUGUGGAGGAAUUUCUGCCUUAGAAAGCUUAUCUUCUCCAGAACAGCAUCUGACUUCAAAUUAUCAUGUAGGGACUUCACAUGUGUGGAAACAGCAUGCAGUCUUAGAAAAUUGUCAGACUUGAAAGCAAUGGCCUGAGAGCAGAAGAGGAAAUUUCUCAGUGACCUACUUGCUUUCCAGUGAAGAUGAGACUUUGGCAUUCUGUAAAUAAAAUGUAUAAACUCCUGUGUUCGGUGAAAUUUACACCACCACCACCACCAACAACAACAAAUAGGAGAGUGGAAAAUGAGG
rnacentral:lncRNA from 12 species